AAAAUACAUAUAUCAGAAGUAGAACAAAAUUCCAAAAAUAGUUUAUUAUAUAAAAUCAUUAAUGGAACUGGUAAGUGGAAUAUUAUCGAGAACGAGAAGAAAGAAAUGAAAAAAUACGUUUAUCGGGAAAAAUCGAUAUUCAGGUAUGGUUACUAUCACUCGAAGAAUAUAAGAUUUCGUUUAAAUAAUCAAACCUUUAUCGAUCUUCAUACCUUCACAUUCACCUGUGAAAUAAAUAACACCAAUUAAUUAUGUCACCUUGCAUACUUUUACGCCAAGCAUUUUUCCAUACAGCUUAAUUUAAUUUACGAUCAAUUUGCAGUGAUCACAUCCCGUAUCGUGCUAUUUAAAUUACAAUACUUAGAUACGAAAAUACUUAUCGUGCUAAAAGAUAUGGUAUCUAAACACAAAUUCUACGCGUGUUACGCGUGAUUUAUAACGUUAAAAUAUUAACAUUCGAGAUCUUGGAACGAGUGAAAGCAUUUUUAUCAUCUGAUAAGGGGGAUAAAACAAGGAGUCCUGCGAGGAAUUCAGGCCACGAUUGGAUAAGAUUGGAAAAAUUAUAAGCUAGGUUUAUAUUAGACCCGAGACAACUUUCUCACAGGUUUAGGAGUCGCGUGGUGCAUGAACUUUAACGUUAAGUUCAACACGUCUCUUGCAAACUCGAAAGAUGUACGCUCAUUACGCUCUUCUUAACAAAAAAAAAAAAAAAUACGAGCCAACUAAAUUUCUAACCUUACUUGAAUAUAUUGCCGUUUAAAUGGCGCGGGAAACGGCACAGUCGCUUUCUUCCAGCCAAUCGGUUUUUUCGAUGGAUUUUUAGACUGGAUUAGAGAGGUUAUUAAGUAAGA